UACGUAGGCAGCAAGCGUUGUUCGGAGUUACUGGGCGUAAAGAGUGCGUAGGUGGUUCUGUAUGUCUACCGUGAAAGCGUACGGCUCAACCGUAUUUUGUCGGUGGAAACUGCAGGACUUGAGGCUGGGAGGGGCUGGUGGAAUUCCCUGUGUAGCGGUGAAAUGCGUAGAGAUGGGGGAGAACACUCGUGGCGAAGGCGGCCAGCUAGACCAGUUCUGACACUGAGGCGCGGCAGCGUGGGGAGCAAACAGG
rnacentral:rRNA from 1 species